rnacentral:rRNA from 1 species
CAUAUAAAUAAGCGGAGGAAAAGAAACCAACUGGGAUUCCCUGAGUAACGGCGAGCGAAAAGGGAAGAGUCCAGCGCCGAAUCCCGCACUAUUGUGGUGCCGGGAAAUGUGGCGUUUGGGAGUGAGCGUACCGGCGGUUGAACCAGCAGCAAGUCCCCCUGACCGGGGCUCUUUCCCAGAGUGGGUGCGAGGCCCAUAGCUGCAGGAACUCCGCCGGUUGCGAUCUCCUUGGAGUCGGGUUGUUUGGGAGUGCAGCCCUAAUCGGGAGGUAAACUCCUCCUAAGACUAAAUACUGCCGUGAGACCGAUAGCAAACAAGUAC